GAGAGCCGUGUACUCCGAGAGGGGUAAGCACGGUUCGGUGAGGGGUCUGUAUAAACCUACUAUGGAAACAUAGCAAGGCGAUACUUUCCUACUCUAC
rnacentral:ncRNA from 1 species